AGAGUUUGAUUCUGGCUCAGAUUGAACGCUGGCGGCGUGCUUAACACAUGCAAGUCGAACGUGAAAGUCCUUCGGGGCGAGUAAAGUGGCGCACGGGUGAGUAACGCGUGGAUAAUCUACCCUUAAGAUGGGGAUAACGGCUGGAAACGGUCGCUAAUACCGAAUACGCUCCCGAUUUUAUCGUUGGGGGGAAAGAUGGCCUCUGCUUGCAAGCUAUCGCUUAAGGAUGAGUCCGCGUCCCAUUAGCUAGUUGGCGGGGUAACGGCCCACCAAGGCAACGAUGGGUAGCCGGUCUGAGAGGAUGACCGGCCACACUGGAACUGGAACACGGUCCAGACUCCUACGGGAGGCAGCAGUGGGGAAUAUUGCGCAAUGGGCGAAAGCCUGACGCAGCGACGCCGCGUGAGGGAUGAAGGUUCUCGGAUCGUAAACCUCUGUCAGGGGGGAAGAAACCCCCUCGUGUGAAUAAUGCGAGGGCUUGACGGUACCCCCAAAGGAAGCACCGGCUAACUCCGUGCCAGCAGCCGCGGUAAUACGGAGGGUGCAAGCGUUAAUCGGAAUCACUGGGCGUAAAGCGCACGUAGGCGGCUUGGUAAGUCAGGGGUGAAAUCCCACAGCCCAACUGUGGAACUGCCUUUGAUACUGCCAGGCUUGAGUACCGGAGAGGGUGGCGGAAUUCCAGGUGUAGGAGUGAAAUCCGUAGAUAUCUGGAGGAACACCGGUGGCGAAGGCGGCCACCUGGACGGUAACUGACGCUGAGGUGCGAAAGCGUGGGUAGCAAACAGGAUUAGAUACCCUGGUAGUCCACGCUGUAAACGAUGAUUACUAGGUGUGGGGGGACUGACCCCUUCCGUGCCGCAGUUAACACAAUAAGUAAUCCACCUGGGGAGUACGACCGCAAGGUUGA
rnacentral:rRNA from 1 species